AUACGGAGGAUCCGAGCGUUAUCCGGAUUUAUUGGGUUUAAAGGGUGCGCAGGCGGCCAUUUAAGUCAGCGGUUAAAUCGUGGGGCUCAACCCCAUUCUGCCGUUGAUACUGGGUGGCUUGAUUGCGGUCGAGGUUGGCGGAAUUCGUUGUGUAGCGGUGAAAUGCAUAGAUAUGACGAAGAACACCGAUUGCGUAGGCAGCUGACCAGACCGCAAAUGACGCUCAUGCACGAAAGUGCGGGGAUCGAACAGGAUUAGAUACCCUGGUAGACCGCACAGUAAACGAUGAAUACUUGUUUUCGGCGAUAUAAUGUCGGAGGCAAAGCGAAAGCGAUAAGUAUUCCACCUGGGGAGUACGCCGGCAACGGUGAAACUCAAAUGAAUUGGCGGGG
rnacentral:rRNA from 1 species